CACCAGCCCCUCGAGUGGUGGGGAUGAUUAUUUGGCCUAAAGCGUCCGUAGCCGGCCGGGUAAGUUUCCCGUUAAAUCCAGCGUCUCAAGCGUUGGACUGCGGGAAAUACUGCCUGGCUAGAGAGUGGGAGAGGUGUACGGUAUUCUGGGGGUAGGGGCGAAAUCCUUUGAUCCCCGGAGGACCACCAGUGGCGAAGGCUGUACACUAGAACACGUCUGACGGUCAGGGACGAAAGCUGGGGUAGCGAACCGGAUUAGAUACCCGGGUAGUCCCAGCUGUAAACGAUGCAUGCUAGGUGUUGGGUUGGCCACGAGCCACCCCAGUGCCGCAGGGAAGCCGUUAAGCAUGCCGCCUGGGAAGUACGAUCGCAAGAUUGAAACUUAAGGGAAUUGGCGGGGGAGCACCACCAGGCGUGAAGCCUGCGGUUU
rnacentral:rRNA from 1 species